rnacentral:rRNA from 1 species
UACGUAGGUGGCAAGCGUUGUCCGGAUUUACUGGGUUUAAAGGGUGCGUAGGCGGCUUUGUAAGUCAGUGGUGAAAUAUGGCAGCUCAACUGUCAAGGUGCCAUUGAUACUGCGGAGCUUGAGUACAGAUGAGGUAGGCGGAAUUGACGGUGUAGCGGUGAAAUGCUUAGAUAUCGUCAAGAACACCUAUAGCGAAGGCAGCUUACUAGGCUGUAACUGACGCUGAGGCACGAAAGUGUGGGGAUCAAACAGG